GAUGAAGAACGUAGCGAAAUGCGAUAAGUAAUGCGAAUUGCAGAAUUUCCGUGAGUCAUCGAAUCUUUGAACGCACAUUGCGCCCCUUGGUAUUCCGGGGGGCAUGCCUGUUCGAGCGUCAUUACAACCCUCAAGCUCUGCUUGGUCUUGGGCGUCACCGGUCCCCGGUGUGCCUUAAAAUCAGUGGCGGCGCCAUCUGGCUCUAAGCGUAGUACAUACUCUCGCUACAGACGUCCGGUGGAUGCUGGCCAGCAACCCCCAAUUUAUCAAGGUUGACCUCGGAUCAGGUAGGGAUACCCGCUGAACUUAAGCAUAUCAAUAAGCGGAGGA
rnacentral:misc_RNA from 1 species